CCUACGGGCGGCAGCAGUGAGGAAUAUUGGUCAAUGGACGAGAGUCUGAACCAGCCAAGUAGCGUGAAGGAUGACUGCCCUAUGGGUUGUAAACUUCUUUUAUAUGGGAAUAAAACGUUCCACGUGUGGGAUUUUGUAUGUACCGUAUGAAUAAGGAUCGGCUAAUUCCGUGCCAGCAGCCGCGGUAAUACGGAGGAUCCGAGCGUUAUCCGGAUUUAUUGGGUUUAAAGGGAGCGUAGGUGGAUUGUUAAGUCAGUUGUGAAAGUUUGCGGCUCAACCGUAAAAUUGCAGUUGAAACUGGCAGUCUUGAGUACAGUAGAGGUGGGCGGAAUUCGUGGUGUAGCGGUGAAAUGCUUAGAUAUCACGAAGAACUCCGAUUGCGAAGGCAGUUCACUGGACUGCAACUGACACUGAGGCUCGAAAGUGUGGGUAUCAAACAGGAUUAGAUACCCCUGUAGUC
rnacentral:rRNA from 1 species